rnacentral:misc_RNA from 1 species
AACGCACGAGACCUGCGGACCUGCGGAAGGAUCAUUACCGAGUGAGGGUGAGCAUCUGUCGAAAGCCCCCGAAACUCCCAACCCUAUGUCUACCUUACCACAUGUUGCUUCGGCGGGCCCGUCUCCGGACCGCCGGGGGACCGACCCCUUCAUAGGGGCGUCUCCUGGCCCGCGCCCGUCGGUGGCCAACUCUAAACACUCUUGAAUGAAACGUGUCUGGUCUGAGUAUACUUAUUUAAU